UACGGAGGAUGCGAGCGUUAUCCGGAUUUAUUGGGUUUAAAGGGUGCGUAGGUUGUUUUUUAAGUCAGCGGUGAAAGUCUGUGGCUCAACCAUAGAAUUGCCGUUGAAACUGGGGGGCUUGAGUAUGUUUGAGGCAGGCGGAAUGCGUGGUGUAGCGGUGAAAUGCAUAGAUAUCACGCAGAACUCCGAUUGCGAAGGCAGCAUACCGGCGCCCAACUGACGCUGAAGCACGAAAGCGUGGGUAUCGAACAGG
rnacentral:rRNA from 1 species